AUGGUGCAGAAGAAAAUACAAAUCACAUGCAUAAUGGAUGAAAGGAACUGAGAGGCCACUUUUACAAAGAGAGAGUUUGGAUUAAUGAAGAAAGCCUAUGAACUUAGUGUGCUCUAUGACUGUGCAUUUUCAACAGCUCUAACAAACUCUUUCAAUAUGCUAGCACUGAUAUGGACAAAGUUCUUCUCAAGUAUACAGAAUAUAAUUAACCUUAUGAAAGCACAACCAGCUCAGAUAUUGUUGAGGCUCUGAACAAGAAGGAACACAGAGGGUGCGACAGCUCAGACCCUGAUACUUCAUGUGUGCUAACUCCAUAUACAGAAGAAAAAUAAUUAAUGAGGAAUUUGAUAAUAUGAUGCAGAAUCAUAACAUUGCACCUGGUUUGCCACCUCAGAAUUUUUCAAUGUCUGUCACAGUUCCAGUGAAAAGCCCCAAUGCUUUGUCCUACACUAACCCAGGGAGUUCACUGGUGUCACCAUCUUUGGCAGCCAGCUCAACGUUAACAGAUUUAAACACGCUCUCUCCACCUCAAACCAUAUUACAUAGAAAUGUGUCCCCUGGAGCUCCUCAGAGACCACCAAGUACUGGCAAUGCAGGUGGGAUGUUGGGCACUACAGACUUCACAGUGCCAAAUGGAACUGGAAGCAGCCCAGUGGGGAAUGAAUUUGUAAACUCAAGAGCUUCUCCAAAUUUGAUUGGAGCUACUGGUGCAAAUAGUUUAGGUAAAGUCAUGCCUACAAAGUCUCCCCCUCCACCAGGUGGCAGUAAUCUUGGAAUGAACAGUGGAAAACCAGAUCUUCGAGUUGUCAUCCCCGCUUCAAGCAAGGGCAUGACACCUCCACUAGUAAGUUGAACCUUUCUUC
rnacentral:lncRNA from 1 species